UACGUAGGGUGCGAGCGUUAAUCGGAAUUACUGGGCGUAAAGGGUGCGCAGGCGGUUUUGUAAGUCAGAUGUGAAAUCCCCGGGCUUAACCUGGGAAUUGCGUUUGAAACUACAAGACUAGAGUGUGGCAGAGGGAGGUGGAAUUCCAUGUGUAGCAGUGAAAUGCGUAGAGAUAUGGAAGAACAUCGAUGGCGAAGGCAGCCUCCUGGGUUAACACUGACGCUCAUGCACGAAAGCGUGGGGAGCAAACAGG
rnacentral:rRNA from 1 species